CCCCUAGAUGUUCUGGGCCGCACGCGCGCUACACUGAACAGUUCAACAAGUCUUAACCUUGGCCGAUAGGUCUGGGUAAUCUUUGAACGCUGUUCGUGAUUGGGAUAGACCUUUGCAAUUAUGGGUCUUCAACGAGGAAUUCCUAGUAAACGCAAGUCAUCAGCUUGCAUUGAUUACGUCCCUGCCCUUUGUACACACCGCCCGUCGCACCUACCGAUUGAAUGGUCCGGUGAAAUCUCGGGACGGCGGCUUGGUCGCUUGCGUCCGACUGCUGAAACUUGAUUAAACCAUAUCAUUUAGAGGAGGGUGAANUCGUAACA
rnacentral:rRNA from 1 species